AGUAGUUUGAUCCUGGCUCAGGACGAACGCUGGCGGCGUGCUUAACACAUGCAAGUCGAACGAUGAAGCCCAGCUUGCUGGGUGGAUUAGUGGCGAACGGGUGAGUAACACGUGAGCAACGUGCCCAUAACUCUGGGAUAACCUCCGGAAACGGUGGCUAAUACUGGAUAUCUAACACGAUCGCAUGGUCUGUGUUUGGAAAGAUUUUUUGGUUAUGGAUCGGCUCACGGCCUAUCAGCUUGUUGGUGAGGUAAUGGCUCACCAAGGCGACGACGGGUAGCCGGCCUGAGAGGGUGACCGGCCACACUGGGACUGAGACACGGCCCAGACUCCUACGGGAGGCAGCAGUGGGGAAUAUUGCACAAUGGGCGAAAGCCUGAUGCAGCAACGCCGCGUGAGGGAUGACGGCCUUCGGGUUGUAAACCUCUUUAGUAGGGAAGAAGCGAAAGUGACGGUACCUGCAGAAAAGCACCGGCUAACUACGUG
rnacentral:rRNA from 1 species